rnacentral:misc_RNA from 1 species
GAUGAAGAACGUAGCGAAAUGCGAUAAGUAAUGUGAAUUGCAGAAUUCAGUGAAUCAUCGAAUCUUUGAACGCACAUUGCGCCCGCCAGUAUUCUGGCGGGCAUGCCUGUUCGAGCGUCAUUUCAACCAUCAAGCCCCCGGCUUGUGUUGGGGACCUGCGGCUGCCGCAGGCCCUGAAAAGCAGUGGCGGGCUCGCUGUCACACCGAGCGUAGUAGCAUACAUCUCGCUCUGGGCGUGCUGCGGGUUCCGGCCGUUAAACCACCUUCAUAACCCAAGGUUGACCUCGGAUCCGGUAGGAAGACCCGCUGAACUUAAGCAUAUCAAUAAGCGGAGGA